rnacentral:rRNA from 1 species
UACGUAGGGCGCAAGCGUUGUCCGGAAUUAUUGGGCGUAAAGAGCUCGUAGGCGGUUUGUCGCGUCUGCUGUGAAAACCUAAGGCUCAACCUUGGGCUUGCAGUGGGUACGGGCAGACUAGAGUGCGGUAGGGGUGACUGGAAUUCCUGGUGUAGCGGUGGAAUGCGCAGAUAUCAGGAGGAACACCGAUGGCGAAGGCAGGUCUCUGG